GGGAAUGAAGUUUGGUUCGCCCGGGACGCGCAGGCUGGACGCCGGCGCCCUGCGAUCCCCAGCCUGGGGCCGUCUUUUCCCUUGGCCGGCCCCAGAUCCACUCACCUGCCCUUCGAACCCCAGCCGGGACGCUUUCCCCUUCCAUCCGUGGCCUGCAUUACUGUGCGGCCCACCGUCUGCUCCAGGGCUUCUAGAAAUCGGGACAUGGCCUUCAUUUGGUCUGAUUUUCUGAGUCUCUCAAACUGCUGCUGCAGGGUCCUUGGAGACAGCUCGUUUCUCCUGGAAGAAUCGCCAAAGUCAGCUUCAGCAGCUCACAAACGUCUUCAUUGCUCUGAGCACAGCGCUAGGCAUAGAAUUGGAUUCAGCUGAUACUUGCCACCUGGCUUAGAGAACAAGGACUCCAGCUCCAGCCCCAGCUGCGGCACCUGCUAGUUCUGUGACCUAGGGUAAGCCACUUACCUCUUUGAGCCUCAAUUUUCUCCUCUGUGAAAGGGGCUGGUAACGUCUGUGAUAAAAAUACUUCAUUGAUGGUGUGGGACCGACCGAGGCAACAUAGGCAAAAAAACAAUGUUUGAAAACAUUAAUUGCUAUUGGGUUAUAAGGAAAUAGUCUUAUUAAUAUGAUCAAAUCUCUUGCUAGCUUGUUGAUUUCCUCAGUAGGAGCUGUCAUGCACUGUGUGAUCUUAGACAAGUCGCUCAACUGCUCUGAGCUGCAGUUGUUUCCUCGGUGAUAUGGGGAGAGCAGACUUAAUUACUAAAUCUCCCAACAUCGUAUGAUUCUGUGCUGACACUGAGCUUCCCUUGGAAAUUGGAAAAAGCACAGGCUUUGAAGUCUGACAGAGUGGGGUCAAUACCUCGCUUCACAGCUUGCUGCCUUUUUGUCUUUCUGGACCCUUAAAAGUUUGUCUCGCAGGGUUCCAGGUAUUUUUGAAAACUAACCACAGUCCUGCUGAAGGGCAAUUUUGCCUGCAAUGAGACGCCAGCUGUGAGCAGAGCUCUGCAGGACAGAAAAUGGGUCAGGCCAAGGUUCGGGUCUAUAAUUUUCAAACUCCAGUGGCCCAUGUGAUAGAACCAGUUUGCUUUUGCGUGUUGAAUUUUCAUUGACUGAAUAACAGUGCUCCGAGAGCUGGGAUGGCCUUUUGGUCCCCUUGCUGUGGGUUGUGCGCUCUCCAGGUGCAGCUCAAGCACCUCAGACAGGCCCCUCGGCCCCCGGCCCAGGGUAUGCCACUGGGUCAACAGGGCUUUGAAGUCCACACACUGGCUGACGGAUCAGCAGCCCCUGGGGUCAUCUCCACAAGCUUUGUCACUGAAAAUUAGGAAAGGCACACAGAAGCUGGCAUUGCCCGAGAGGUGAGAGGAGGAAAAUGAUGUCGUCUUUGAUGAAAACAGUGGAGAAAUUCACCCAAAUUCACAGUCUGACUCCAUCAGCAGGAUGUGGGAUUGUUGCUCCCUACUCUCCCUCCUUGUGGCUCAAAAUCCAUGCAGUGAGCUGGUUUAUCUUUCACCUGAGCCGAUGUGUGCCAACCAGUGCUUCUGUGGGGAUCGAGCCGGUGAGAGGAUGCUGGUGCUCUGCAAGGUCCAGAAGGAGCUUCUGAUUCACCAAACAUGCGUAGGCCACGUUCAAGAGCAUUUUAGUGCUGAGUGUUACUUAUUUCUUUUUCCGUAUUCUCUCUUUGGGGCACUGGUUUUCCUGUCUUCAGCAUUUACGGAGAGCGCCCUCUGGGACAGGCGCUUAACGUGAUUGUCACAUUGUCUCACUUAAUCUCCACGGCAUCCCUGAGGAGGAUGAUGUAUUGUCCCUGUGCUGCACAUGAGGAAAGCUCUGGGAGGUUAGACCUGGCUGAGGGGAACACAGCUGGAGGCGGCGGAGUGGGGGCCCCUCGCUGUCUGACCCUCCAGCUCGUGUUCAGAACUCCUGCUGGUAGAGUUUUGUUCGGAUAAGGUGCUGGGUAAGUAGGAAUCAGGAUAUUUGGUGGACUAGCAGGCCUCCUUUCCUGUCCUUGCUCCUCAAGUUCAAAGCCUUACAGUCACCUCCUCUUCCCCUUUAUCCUUGUUCUGCAUAUCCUCUUGGGCACAGAGUCCUGUCAAUUUGUCCUUCCCAGUGUCCCUUGCAUUUCUUUUUCUUCUUACCCUCAUGACUGCACACUUGGGUUCUUGCAGUAGCCUCCCAGUCUUUCCCUU
rnacentral:lncRNA from 1 species